rnacentral:piRNA from 1 species
UGAUGUCUAUGCGCCAUUUUCGGAACCAC